rnacentral:lncRNA from 1 species
CUCAGCCGGGGUCAGCUGGCAGCGGCUGACAGUUGGCCAGGCUUGGGCCACUUCCAGCCUCCUGGAACAGUCAUGUCGCCGGUUUUGCGUGUGCCGAAUUCAUAGUGCUGCCCCAGCAGAGCUGCUAUCUGAAUUCUCCGUGGAUGUGGCAAAGGGGAAUGAACGCUAACGGUGUCGCUGGAAGUGUCCGACCUAGAGAAAUAUGUAGACUGGAAACCUGUUACCUUGUGGAGAACCGUUGCCUUAAGGGACUGUGAUGGAGAAUGACAGAGAAUGUGUGACAUCUUCCACAUGCCUGCAAGCAUUCACUUUCGAGCACUGCCCCACCAAACAUCAGACACCGAAGAAAAGCCUCCAGCAUGGACUUCCUGGUUCUCUUCUCGUUCUACCUGGCCUUCUUACUGAUUUGUGUCAUCAUGAUCUGCAUCUUCACGAAAAGCCAGCGUUUGAAAGCUGUGGUCCUGGGAGGAGCACAGGUAUGCGCCCGUGUAACCCCACAGUGCUUCCAGAGGGCCGUGCAGACGCUCCUUCAUCAGCUCUUCCACACACGCCACCCGGCCUUCCUUGCCUUGCACCUGCUCCUGCAAGGGCUAGUUUACGCGGAAUACACCUACGAAGUCUUCAGCUACUGCCGCGAGCUGGAGUUCUCCCUGCCUUGCCUUCUCCUGCCCUACGUGCUGCUGAGUGUGAACCUGGUCUUCUUCACCCUGACUUGUUCCAC